rnacentral:rRNA from 1 species
AUACGGAGGGUGCAAGCGUUAUCCGGAAUCAUUGGGUUUAAAGGGUCCGCAGGCGGAUUAAUAAGUCAGUGGUGAAAUCCUCUCGCUCAACGAGAGAACUGCCAUUGAAACUGUUAGUCUUGAAUUCGGUCGAAGUAGGCGGAAUGUGUCAUGUAGCGGUGAAAUGCAUAGAUAUGACACAGAACACCGAUAGCGAAGGCAGCUUACUAGACCUGGGUUGACGCUCAUGGACGAAAGCGUGGGGAGCGAACAGGAUUAGAUACCCUAGUAGUCC